CAACUUCUGAAUGUUGACCUCGGAUCAGGUAGGAAUACCCGCUGAACUUAAGCAUAUCAAUAAGCGGAGGAAAAGAAACCAACAGGGAUUGCCCUAGUAACGGCGAGUGAAGCGGCAACAGCUCAAAUUUGAAAUCUGGCUCUCGGGCCCGAGUUGUAAUUUGUAGAGGAUGUUUUUGAUGCGGUGCCUUCCGAGUUCCCUGGAACGGGACGCCAUAGAGGGUGAGAGCCCCGUCUGGUUGGAUGCCAAAUCUCUGUAAAACUCCUUCAACGAGUCGAGUAGUUUGGGAAUGCUGCUCUAAAUGGGAGGUAUAUGUCUUCUAAAGCUAAAUACCGGCCAGAGACCGAUAGCGCACAAGUAGAGUGAUCGAAAGAUGAAAAGCACUUUGAAAAGAGAGUUAAAAAGUACGUGAAAUUGUUGAAAGGGAAGCGUUUAUGACCAGACUUGGACUUGGAUAAUCAUCUGGGGUUCUCCCCAGUGCACUUGCCCAUUCCAGGCCAGCAUCAGUUUUCCUCGGGGGAUAAAGACUUUGGGAAUGUGGCUCCCUUCGGGGAGUGUUAUAGCCCAUUGUGUAAUACCCUGGGGGGGACUGAGGUUCGCGCAUCUGCAAGGAUGCUGGCGUAAUGGUCAUCAAUGACCCGUCUUGAAACACGGACCAAGG
rnacentral:rRNA from 1 species